AUAAACGCUAGCGGCAGGCCUAACACAUGCAAGUCGCGGGGCAGCAUAACAAUUAGCAAUAAUCGUUGAUGGCGACCGGCGCACGGGUGCGUAACACGUAUGUAACCUGGCCUUUACAGGGGGAUAGUCAGAGGAAACUUUGAAUAAUACCCCAUAACACACCAUUAAGGCAUCUUAUAGGUGUUAAAGGAGCGAUCCGGUAAAGGAUGGACAUGCGACCGAUUAGACAGUUGGUGAGGUAACGGCUCACCAAAUCCACGAUCGGUAGGGGGUCUGAGAGGACUACCCCCCACACUGGUACUGAGAUACGGACCAGACUCCUACGGGAGGCAGCAGUGAGGAAUAUUGGGCAAUGGGCGGAAGCCUGACCCAGCCAUGCCGCGUGCAGGAAGACAGCCCUAUGGGUCGUAAACUGCUUUUUUAGAGGAAGAAUAAAGUCUACGUGUAGACCGAUGACGGUACUUUAAGAAAAAGCAUCGGCUAACUCCGUGCCAGCAGCCGCGGUAAUACGGAGGAUGCAAGCGUUAUCCGGAAUUAUUGGGUUUAAAGGGUCCGCAGGCGGCCCGUUAAGUCAGUAGUGAAAACCCGGGGCUCAACCCCGGACGUGCUACAGAUACUGGCGGGCUAGAGAAAGUCUGGAGGCAGCGGAAUGUGACAAGUAGCGGUGAAAUGCAUAGAUAUGUCACAGAACACCGAUAGCGAAAGCAGCUGCCUAAGACUUAUCUGACGCUCAGGGACGAAAGCGUGGGGAGCAAACAGGAUUAGAUACCCUGGUAGUCCAUGCCGUAAACGAUGAGUGCUAGGUGUUGGAGGGUUUCCGCCCUUCAGUGCCGGAGCUAACGCAUUAAGCACUCCGCCUGGGGAGUACGACCGCAAGGUUGAAACUCAAAGGAAUUGACGGGGGCCCGCACAAGCGGUGGAGCAUGUGGUUUAAUUCGAUGAUACGCGAGGAACCUUACCAGGGUUUAAAUGGGUCCUGAAUAAUUUGGAAACAGAUUAGCCGCAAGGCAGGAUUCAAGGUGCUGCAUGGUUGUCGUCAGCUCGUGCCGUGAGGUGUUAGGUUAAGUCCUGCAACGAGCGCAACCCCCAUGAUCCGUUACUAACAGGUAAAGCUGAGGACUCAGAUCAGACUGCCGGCGUAAGCCGCGAGGAAGGCGGGGAUGACGUCAAAUCAUCACGGCCCUUACACCCUGGGCCACACACGUGCUACAAUGGCCGGUACAGAGAGCAGCCACCCCGCGAGGGGGAGCGAAUCUACAAAACCGGUCUCAGUUCGGAUCGCAGUCUGCAACUCGACUGCGUGAAGCUGGAAUCGCUAGUAAUCGCGCAUCAGCCAUGGCGCGGUGAAUACGUUCCCGGGCCUUGUACACACCGCCCGUCAAGCCAUGGAAGUCUGGGGGACCUGAAGACGGUAACCGCAAGGAGCCGUUAAGGGUAAAACAGGUAACUAGGGCU
rnacentral:rRNA from 1 species